rnacentral:rRNA from 1 species
GCGGCAGCUAACACAUGCAGUCGAGCGGAUGAGGGAAGCUUGCUUCCCAAUUUAGCGGCGGACGGGUGAGUAAUGCCUAGGAAUCUGCCUAUUAGUGGGGGAUAACGUUCCGAAAGGAACGCUAAUACCGCAUACGUCCUACGGGAGAAAGUGUGGGAUCUUCGGACCUCACGCUAAUAGAUGAGCCUAGGUCGGAUUAGCUAGUUGGUGGGGUAACGGCUCACCAAGGCGACGAUCCGUAGCUGGUCUGGGAGGAUGAUCAGCCACACUGGAACUGAGACACGGUCCAGACUCCUACGGGAGGCAGCAGUGGGGAAUAUUGGACAAUGGGCGAAAGCCUGAUCCAGCCAUGCCGCGUGUGUGAAGAAGGUCUUCGGAUUGUAAAGCACUUUAAGUUGGGAGGAAGGG